AAAUUGGCCUUUGCAUUUUCCUAGUACUUUCCUGGUUUCCUUUGUGACUUUGGUAUGCUUAUGUCAAUUAGCUUAGCAUUUGAUUCAUCUAUGUCUGUUUUACCAAGUAUCUAAUAUGAGCUAGAAAAUAUCUUUAAUGAGUAUUAUUUGAACAACGUAAUGUUAGAGCUGAUGCAUUACCCUAUCUUAUUAUAAAGUAUUACAAUUAUUAUAUGAAAAGUCACUUUAAGAUAAUUUUUAUUGUUUUUAUUUUUUUAGUGACAUUAAAUUGAAACAUGUUAUUCUCUUUUAUCUUCUUUUUUUCCAUCGUUGUUUGGUCCUUGUGUUUGCUUUGUUGCUUUUUUUUGGAACCGAGGUCUUCAUUUAGAUUUGUAUUAAUUGUGCCUCAUUUAGAUGUAAGAAAUGCAUUUAAUUAAAUGAUUUAGAGCUACAUAAUUUUAUGGAUCUGGAAACUCAUUUGUUCUCCAUAUUUUUUCUUACUAGUUUUAUGUCUUGGUCAAUGGACUUGUUCCUUUAUUUGUUAUUUUCAAUCACAGUGUGAAGGGAAAGGUGCAAGCCUACUAUUAAUCUCAAUAUUUGAGCAUUUCUUCAUGCUUUGUUUCCAUUAAAUGUCAUCAGGAAUUUAAGAAUUUAGGACAGGUAUAAAAUUUUCACCUAAAAUUAUGUAUCUAAGCACCUCAGAUUUCAACAUUCUAAGAUGCAUCAUUAUUUUACUAUACCUGUCUUGGAGUUGGAAUAUGGUUAGACGAGUUGCUGAAGACCUACAUGAACUCCUCACAAAUUUUAAAUUGAUGGAUAGAUUUAUUUUUUUAAGAAUUUGAUGUUCACUUGUUUUGUUUUGCUGUCUCCAUAAGUUCAGGCUCUUGAGGGGCUAUCCAUGUGUACUUCAAAUACACAGGCCUAUAUACAUAGGCCAUGAGUUGGAAUAUGGCAAGACUGCAGUGCCUUGAGUUAUCCAAUUUUUGUGAUUGUUCUAUAUAACAUAUGUCAGUAAGUGUUCACCAUUUGACAACUAUUAUAUAUUAAUGUGCUCUGUUUAUUGGAGAGGCUAGGACAUAGUUGAACCUCCUGGUUUGCUUUCCCUAUCUUGGAUGCUAGAAAUUAUGGUACUAAAAUAGCUUUCCUAUGUAACAAGGUAUCUAUAUGAUAAAAAAAGUUGAGUUGUAUUCUUCAUAUCAUAUAAGCUAUAACUGGUAGCAUUUAAGAAUUAAGACUAAUUGGUCUCUACUAUCUGUGAAAAUCAUUCAUGUAUUGUUGUUGGCAUAGUUGGAUAAUUUUGGAUAUGUAGAUUGUCAUCGAUACAUGUUGUGCAACUUUUGCUUAAAUUCAAAAGAGAGGCAAAGACUUUUGGGCCGAAUUUGAGUUGUAUCUUAUAGAUAUUCUUGUUGGGCUGGUUGUUAGUGUUGCUUUGGUAGGUAUGUUGGCACCCUAUGCUCGAAUAGGGAAACCAUCAAUAUCUAGUGGGUUCCUUGGUAGAAUACAUAAAGCUUAUGCAGCCUUGCCUAGCAGUGUAUUUGAAGUAGAAAGUCCAGGAAAUAGGUUUUCUGUAUAACAGAGACUUAGAACAUACUUCUACAAGGGUAUAAUGUAUGGAGCUGAUGGAUUUGGAUGUGGUAUUAUAGGCCAAGGCAUUGCAAAUUUGAUCUUGACUGCAAAAUGGAGCAUAAAGACAUAAGAAGAAGACAUACAUGUGCCACCACUUGUGAAGAGUGUUGCUCUUUGUGGUAUGAUCUUGGUAAUAAAGACAUAAAAUCGUCUUAGAAGACAUACAUGUGCCAUCACAUGACCUCGCAAUUUUGACAAAAAAAGUUUCAGUGUGGGGUGCUCUAAAACAUUGCACUGGGAUGGCUUUCUUCUGCAUAGGGUCUGGAAUUCAAUGACGGUCAACACAAGACUCGUCGUUAUCUAUUGAGUUGACCAAUACAACGACGGUCACAAGUACAGCCGUCAUGAACGUAUGAUGAACGUAGUACAACGACGUUCUUUGGCAGCCCGACGUUGACACCAACAAACUCAACGACAGUGGGACAUACACAACAUCGUUGAAAAUGAUGAAAACAACGACAGCCUAUGUUAAUGGCCGACGUUGAAGUCAUUACUACAACGACGGCGUUUACCCAUGCACGACGUUGAUGAGUAACCUACAACGAUGACAUUUAUGUAUAAACGACGUUGAUAUGCUGAAUACAACGGCGGCGUUUAUGACAACCGCGACGUUGAAAGCUUAAGACAACGACGGAUAUUAAUCAAUACUCAUCGUUGCUUUCAUGUUUACGAUGACUGUCCUAAAGUGGGUCUGACGUUGCCAUUUUUUAUUACAACGACGGGUAUGGGUGCACCGUCGUAAUCGUUGUCGGGAAACAACGACACCUGUAGCAAAGACGGUGCCUGGCCCGACGUAGAAAUAGCAUUUCGACCGAUGUAGAUCCUUACAUUUCUAGCAGAGAGGUUACUUGCCAAACAACACGUAUCCCUACUGCUAACCAUAUGAAAGAGCAGGAAGUAUGCUUUUCAUUUUGAAAUAUUAAAAAAAAUGAACGGCUAAGUCUCACGUUCUUGAGUGAGGAAAAUUGUGAGAAUUUAUCAGUAAAUUUUGAAAAUGCAAAAUUAAGUUAUUUACAGAAAUGUGGUCGUGUGUUUUAAUUAUAUUUUUUUACUUACAAUUAUUAUAAUUUCCAAA